GGAAUAUUGGACAAUGGGCGCAAGCCUGAUCCAGCCAUACCGCGUGGGUGAAGAAGGCCUUCGGGUUGUAAAGCCCUUUUGUUGGGAAAGAAAAGCAGUCGAUUAAUACUCGGUUGUUCUGACGGUACCCAAAGAAUAAGCACCGGCUAACUUCGUGCCAGCAGCCGCGGUAAUACGAAGGGUGCAAGCGUUACUCGGAAUUACUGGGCGUAAAGCGUGCGUAGGUGGUUGUUUAAGUCUGUUGUGAAAGCCCUGGGCUCAACCUGGGAAUUGCAGUGGAUACUGGGCGACUAGAGUGUGGUAGAGGGUAGUGGAAUUCCCGGUGUAGCAGUGAAAUGCGUAGAGAUCGGGAGGAACAUCCAUGGCGAAGGCAGCUACCUGGACCAACACUGACACUGAGGCACGAAAGCGUGGGGAGCAAACAGGAUUAGAUACCCGAG
rnacentral:rRNA from 1 species